CCUCUUGAGGGAACACACCGUCGUACGUCCGCUUCAGACUGGCUCUCUCUCUUCCACACCGCCCUCACGUGCGAGUAGGUACUUGGUAUCCUGCCACCCACUUGAUCGCGCUGGAGGGUAGCACAGCGUUAAACAGAGCUGACGGCUGUCCACGGUGGUCGGCGUCGUGCAUACGCACAGCAGAACGUUUUUCCUCACUUGUGCCGUCGCAGCCGCCCCCUACCCCUCCCUCCCUCCCCCCGCUGCCCUGCAGCCCUCUCCGUCUGGUAAUCCUCGCGCCGCUGCUUUUCUUUUAUUGUUUGCGAUUUUUCCCUCGUGCUUCUACCAAACCAUUUGCAAGGUAGCGGGCGUACUGACGGGUGCCACCACCGUCCCCGUUUUGCGGCGAAGAGACUCUGUGAAGCACCCUCCGCCCUUGCCCGUCUCUUCUUGUUUUGCUCCGCCCUGCAAGCACGACAACAUAUUUGACCGAUUACCCCUCCACGAGGCGUUGGUGCCUGUGCGCUGCUGCUGGUCAAAUCCGUUCUAUAUUUGGGCCGCCCCUUUACUUUUUCGCGUCUGUGUCGAGUGCAGGCUUGUCGGCUGCGUCAGCGCGAGGAGGGGUCUGCCGUUGCGUCUGCUUUGUGCUGCAUUUCUUUUUCUCCGCUGCCCCCCUCCCCCUCCCCAAAGAAAACCAAACAAAUCCACGCUGCCUUUCGUGCUUUCUUCUGGCUCCCGUUUCUUAAUCCCCGUCUUCUCGCGACACGUGGUGUUUGGCUGUUGCCGGCCUGGGGAACGCGGUGCAGCCAAGACACUCUCGCCCACUCGGUGCGUGUGCGCGUUGGUGACUCACUCUUGCCGGCCCUCUCUUCCCUUCGCCCGCAUUUUGAUUGACGGGCUGCGGUGUGCCAGCGAGAGGUUUUGCGACGGAGCGAGUCUUUCGCUCUUCGGCCCCUCGUUUUCGGCUCCUCGUGAGUGUGUAGCUGUGACGUCCCGUGUGCGUGCACGUGUGUGUGCGCGCGCGUGUGAACCGCCCCCCGCCGUCUUCCCUUCAGCCUGAGGUGCGGAGAAGAAGAACACAACCUCGACGUGUGACACCGCUCCAUUCCGAGGCACAAAGGCAGAGGAGUAGCACAGCGGAGGCCAGCGCCCGCACGGACAAGCAGCGCUGCUACCGUCCACUGCGGACGCGCACACUGGCUCGCCUGCGCGCAGCACUACCCUAGACCGUCGUCACCUGCGGAGACGCAGCCUCUUUCUCCAUCUCCGAAAAAGCGGCCGGCGGUGCAACGUCGCUUGAGACGCAGAGCGAGCGGAUCGAUACGCCUCCUCGCGUAGUGCAAGCGCGAUCAGGAUCUUCUCUGUUCCGGGUGAGUGUGUGCCCGUCAGCAGAGCUGGAGCCGUAUAAGCUCCAGCAUAUUUCUCGCCACGCACCGAGAGACGUGCAGGGUGCGUUGAGCGGCGUCCCCGAAGAGGACGAGGCACGCAGCAGAUCCAGACAAAACUUCGGCGCUGUAACAGUGACGCAUCCGUCGGAAGGGAAGCGAGAGAAGAGGAGGCGGUGCAUCGACGCGAGAGGGACUACACAUCUGUAAUCGGCGGCACGGCAAGGUGGUGGGGGUGGCUAUUGCGAAGCAGACGUAGCUCCCUCCCCCCAUCCCGCCAGACACAGCGGCGCCGAUACACGCAACAGUGCGCAGUGUAGGGCGAAAAGGCAGCUCGGCUUCUGUCUCUCUCUCUUCCGGCACUCGUGCUGCCGUCUUUGCUGCUUCACCUCUCCGCCACUCUCUAUAUUUCUUGCCAUCUACCUGUGUCUGCCCAUCUCGCACACGUUUUCAGUGUGUGGGCGUGCUCUCCUGUGAGUGCUUGCAUUUUGUUGUUGGUGCAGCAGAGUGGGACGCCCCCUAUCUAUCUAUAUAUUUAUUUAUCUUUUCAUCUUUUAUUUUGCCCCUCUGGGCUUUCUGAAAUCGGCACCAAUCGGCGCCUGUGCCUUUCCUGGGAGACUUCCUCCCCCUGCCCUCCCUCCACCUUUACCCCCCGGCGAGUGUGUGUGUGUCUCCGUUUUUGCCUGCUUCCGUGACCCCUUCGCUUCUCCCUUGUGCUCUGCGUGUUUUCUCUUGAAGUGCUGUGCUCUGCCUUUUGGUUAUGGUUGGUGUCUUCAUAUCAUUUUUAUGGUUUCCUUUCCAGUGUGAGCGACCAUUCGUAUAUUUCUGCCUCUCCUCUGCCUUUGAGUUCUGUCCGUGCGUGUGCGCGUGCGUGCGUCUCUCUCUUUCUGUGUGUGUGCUGUGCUGCGUUGUGCAAGGUGGUGAGCGCUCUCCCCCGGAGGCGUGGACUGUACUGCCGACCGUUUUCUCUGCCCUUGUGCUCCAGUUGCGUUCUUGUGACUUUUUGUGCUCUUGCUUCUCCUCGCUUUCCGUUGACACCUUGCACAGAGGUGCUGCCGCAUCCGCUGCUUCACGUGCUCCUCCUUGUGCCCGCCCCCGCCUCUCCUUCCGCCCUCUUCUGUGUGUGUGUGUGUGGCCGUUGAUUCUCUUCUCUCGCCUCUUCCGCUGACCGCGGACAUUUUCUUCGUUUUUUUUUGCCGCACCCGCUUUCUCUCGAUAUUUCGUGCUGCGUGUACACACGCCUGCCGGCACCCCGUUCUCCUCUCCGCUAUCCCCACGCUUGCCUCCUUUGCUUGUCGCGUCGACUUCAGCGCUCGAACCUCCGCCACAUCGCCGCCCCCCCUGUCGCUCCGUCCCUCUCACGCAGCUCUCUCUGUGUCGUGUGUGCCGUGCGCGCCCAGUCUUUCUCUCCCUCUUCCGCUUUUUGCUGGUUCGCUUAUUGUGGGCGUUGUGCUUGCUGCCUUUUCCUGCUGCUACCCCCUCCCCUCCGGCACGACUCGGCAGUCUGCCGCCAGGAACGGACUGAGCUGGACGCGGUGGUGCGUGUGCAUUCGGUGCGGCACGUCGGCACCCGCUCAUAGCGUGUCACGGAGAGAGCCGAAAGACACGCACGCGGACGGCAGAACCCGUCCGUGACCACAACCGUCGCGCGUGGCGCAGUGGCAAAACAGGAUUCCUCGUACGAGGUGCAGCUAGAGGCGAUGGGCGCCGCAAACAAGAAUACACAGCGCGACAGGGCCGCUUCAGGGAUGUCGACCUUGUCUCCUCCGAGAAGCACUCGUGAGACGGCGCUGUGCGAUGGCACGGAGAACUCGCCGGACAACUGUGCGGUGCAGCGGCCCGGGGAGCGCACGUGUCUGAAGCCGCUCAAUAAUGGAGGGGCCCAGAGCGGACCGACCAGCAGUGCGCAGCGCCAUUCGGAGGGCGAUGAGGUCGAGCUGAGGAACGUGAACGAGGUCGACAAGAGCGGCUUCGGCGUCGGAGGUGAUUCGCACAAGGGCGGUUCCUCGCGAAGCACCGGCGAUGCGCUAGAGGACGGCAAAGACAAGUACGAUGUCUACAUGCGCGCGGUCGAGGCGCAACGCCGCUCGGAAACGUCCACUUCGCUGUCAAGUGACUGCAGCAGCUUCUGCUUUCAGCUUGUUGUAACAGUGAAGCGCAUGCUCAUCCUGCAGUCCCGCGACCCCUUGUCGUUGGCGUGCGAGCUCAUCACGCCGAUUUUCUUUCUUGUGGGCUCCAUCAUCCUGUGGGGCGUCAUCAAGAAGGGCUUCGUCCCGGCGUCUGACUACUUCAGCGUGGCGGGAGAGUCUAUCACGAAUGCGGUGAUGACGCAGGCGACGGACAUGAUGUGCUAUAAUGCGACGCUCACUGGCGGGGCCCCGAUCGAGGGUCUCCUGGAGUGUCGCGAGUUCCUCAAAAAGCCUUUAUUUCUGCCGACGCUGUUGUGCGCUGAGAGCAACAUCACCGGCGCCCCGGUCGGCUUGUGCGUUUCGGAGAUCUAUGCUCUGAGCGCGUAUGCUACGAUGCGCGGCUAUGCGACACGGAACACGACCCGUGUUCCGACGGUGGAUGAGAUGAUCUUGCUGCAGUGGGCAUGGCGCCUCCUGUACCACUGGAGCGGUGUCUCGUUAGACCGUUUCCAGACGGUGGACUCCGCCAUGUUAUCCAGCGGCACUCUCUAUUUUGCGCCGGCGUCCACUGAGACGGAGGCGCUCGUUGCGUACUUCCGCAAGACUUCCAUCUAUUUCCAGUACGUCUACGGCGGCACCUUCGCCACAGUGGCGGAGGCGGAGGCGAGGGUGCAGAGCCGCACCUGGCGUGACCCGCCCAUCUGGGGCAUCGUUCAAGUGAGCAACUUGACAGCGGAAAUGUUUGAUGUGGCCAUUCGCCUGAACGCGACGGCGCUGCCACGAACGAAGUGGAUGUUGGCACGCUACUACGUCGGUGGCGUGGUGGCGGAGGGGCCGGUCAUGUACAUCCUCUCCGGCUUCACGACGCUGCAGCAGACCGUGUACCAAUACUUCCUGACAAGGAUACUCGGUACGACAAGUACGCCGAGUGCGGAGCUGCUGAUGCUUCCCGCGCCGACACGCGGCUACAGGGAUGACCAGUUUCUCGCUUACGGCGGGCGGUUUGUGCCCCUUAUCCUCGUGCUCGGCUUCCUGUACCCGGUGUCGCAGAUGACAAAACGCAUCGUGCUGGAGAAGGAGCUGCGCUUGCGGGAGGCGAUGCUGAUCAUGGGGCUGUCUGAAGUGGUCAUGUACACGGCGUGGUUCUUGAUUUACGUGGCGCAGUACGCGGCCGUCUCGCUCAUCAUGGCGAUUCUGCUGCGGGCGACGUACUUGGCGAAGUCGAACUUCGGCAUCGUCUUUUUCCUGCUCUUCUUUUUCUCACUUUCCAUCAUCACGCUGUCGGGGCUCAUGGCGGUGUUCUUCAACAAGGCGCGCCUGUCGGCGAUCCUGGCGCCGCUGAUUUACUUCGCCUUGGCGAUUCCGCUCUUUACGGUGCAGAACUUGCAGGGCCCCGCGCAGAUUGGAUUCUCUUUUCUUUCGCCAUCUGGCCUCGCUGUCGGCGUCACGAUCCUCUUCUCGCACGAGCUGAGCGGCGGCAUGACGGGCUCCGACUUGACCUACUUCCGCGACUCGCCGAAAAUGCUUGCGGUGAUCAUCAUCUUGUUUAUGGACUUCAUCAUCUACUUGGUGCUGAUGCUGUACCUGGACGCGGUCCUGCCGAAGCAGUGGGGUACGCCCAAGCACCCGCUCUUCUUCAUCAUGGAGCCGGUGCGGUGGUGCUGCCGAUCAAAGACGGGCGUGCUGGAGGGCGGCGCCGACGGGCGCGCCGAGGAUGGCGUGUUCGAGGAGAUCACAGAAGGCGGCGCCGACUACGCCGUUUGCACCACUGGGCUGCGCAAGGAGUACUCGCGCGGCGGCAAGAGGUUCGUUGCGGUGAACAACCUGUACUGGGGGAUGCGCGAGGGCGAGAUCUCUGUGCUGCUGGGGCACAACGGCGCCGGCAAGACGACGACGAUGAACAUGAUGACGGGGAUGGUAUCGGCGGACGCGGGCGACUGCUACAUUUACGGCUACUCUGUCCGCAACCAGCUAGAGAAGGCGCGCCAGCAGAUCGGAUACUGCCCGCAGCACAACAUCCUGUGGCCGAACAUGACGUGCUACGAGCAUCUUUGGUACUACGCUGCGUUGAAGGGCUUGCGAGGCGCUGCCCAGGAGGAGGCGAUCUCGCGCAUGCUCGCCGGCGUCGACCUGCAGGACAAGCGCGAUUGCCCCUCGAAGAUGCUGUCGGGCGGGCAGAAGCGGAAGCUGUCGGUUGCCGUUGCGUUUGUUGGCGGCAGCCGUCUUGUGUUUCUCGACGAGCCGACUGCCGGCAUGGACGUUGGCGCGCGCCGAUACACGUGGGGCCUGCUGCGUGCCAUGGCCAAGUACCACACCAUCCUUCUGAGCACGCACUUCAUGGACGAGGCGGAUCUGCUGGGCGAUUCCGUUGCCAUCAUGAGCAAGGGCUGCCUGCAGUGCGCGGGCAGCAACAUGUUCUUGAAGGCCAAGCUCGGGGUCGGCUACGUGCUCACCCUCUCCGUCGUCGCCCAUGUUGAUCGGAUGGCCGUUGCUGGCAUGGUGAGGGAGCACGUGCCGUCAGCGACGAGGCUCGGGUCUGGUGCGGGGGAGAUGGCCUUCCGUCUUCCCAUGAAGACCAAGGAAGCGUUCCCCAACCUGCUCGCCGAGAUCGAGGGCCGCGGCUCGCAGCUUGGCGUCAGCGCCUACAGUGUCUCUGCCACGACGCUGGAGGAGAUUUUCAUUCAAAUUGCGCAGCAGGGGGAGGCCAAGGAAGCGAUGGAGCGGAAGCGGGAGCAGCUGACGGCGCCGUUCACCGGGACGACACCAGUGGCGGCCGCGGCAUCUGCGGGCUCCUCUGCAAACCAUGUGAGCGCGCUGGCCGACAUCAGCACCGUGGAUGGUGUUUGCCAGGAACCACCGCGGCCGUCGGAUGUGUGGAAUGUCGGCCUCAUCGGGAAUGAGCUCGGUGUCUUGCACAGCCAGUUCAAGGCGAUGCUGUGGAAGCGGCUCUGGAACGCCUUGCGCGACCGCCGGACGCAAUUCUUCCAGAUUGCGUGCCCGAUGCUGUGUGUGCUGCUCGCAAUGCUACUCACGCUCAUCAAGCUAUUCCAAUACCCAGCCAUCACGCUGUCCAGCGACCUAUACGGCACAGUGGUCGAGAUCGACGUGGUCGGAUGUGAGUGGGCGAUGAACUUGAGCAUACCGUUCUCGUCGAGAGCCGUUACGGUGCAGCCGCCAUCCGCGACGUCCGUCGCAACGCUUUCCUCCUACAUGCUCGAAACGUACGACACUCACGUGGCGGAGCGGUACACCGGCCUGGUGUGCGUCGACGCGGUGACCUUCCCGCUACCGUUCACGCCAGAAAACAGGUCCGUUUCGGCCGUGAUCUACAACACCUCGGGCCUGCACUCCAGCCCGAUUGGCCUCUACAAUCUCUACAACGGCUACUACAUGGCGCACCGCGGCAAUAACGCCAGUGUGCUGACCACGGUCGUCCAAACGAUGCCCAAGACCAAGACCGAGGUCGAAGUCCAGGAUUCGAUCUACGCCCUUAUCAUCGCCAUCGUCAUCAUGAUCCCGUUCACGUUCAUUCCGUCCACGUUCGUGUCGUGGAUUGUAAAGGAGCGGGAGUGCAAGGCGCGACAUCUGCAGAACGUGUCGGGGCUCUACUUCUCCGUCUACUGGCUCGCGAACUUCUUGUUUGACAUCUGCUGCUACGUCAUCACGAUGUUCCUCAUCAUCAUCGUCUUCGCUAUCUUCAGCCGCGAUGAGUACAUUGGCGCGAGGGCUGUCGGUGCCACCAUCGUGCUGUUCUUCCUCUACGGCCUCUCCGGCGUGGCCAUGGCGUACGCUGUGAGCUUCCUGUUCAAGGAGCACUCCACAGCUCAGAACGUCGUCAUGCUCGCCAACUUCAUCACCGGCUUCCUGCUGGUUCUCUGCGUCUCGAUGCUGUCUGUGUUCGAGUCCACAAAGAAGGUGGCCGAAGUCCUACCGUGGAUCUUCCGCGUUGUGCCGAGCUUCUGCGUCGGCGAAGGCAUCAGCAACCUCGCGAAACUGAAGUUAGAGGAGUCGUUCGGUACAACAAAUACACCGUGGUCCAUGUCCGUGGUAGGCUGGCCGUGCGUGUACAUGGCGGCCGGGUUGCCUUUCUACGUCCUUGUCACCCUCUUCGUUGAUCACCCCGGACGGCGGCAACGGACGCAGCGGCUCUUCCACGACCCCGACGCGGAGCCGGACUUUGUCGAGAACGAAGACGAGGACGUCAUGGCGGAGCGCCGAAGCGUGCUCGAGUGUGAGGCGCGCCAGAGCGACCUCGUGCGCGUCGAGAACAUGAGCAAGGUGUACUCGAACGGCAAGGUGGCGGUGCGCAACAUCACCUUCGCCGUCCACCCCGGGGAGGUGUUUGGGUUCCUCGGAACGAACGGUGCUGGGAAGACGACGACGAUUUCGAUACUGUGCCAGGAGAUUUACCCGACAACUGGCCGCGCGUCCAUCUGCGGCAACGACAUCGUGACGAAGAGCCGCGAGGCGCUGCAGUGCAUCGGGUACUGCCCGCAGUUCGACGCGUGCCUGGACCUGCUGACGGUGAAAGAGCACCUGGAGCUGUACGCGGGCGUGCGGGCCAUCUCGUACGACUGUCGCAAGCGCGUGGUGGAGGGGCUGCUGGCUUUGUGCGAGUUGACGAACUACAAGCAUACCCUGGCGCACGACCUGUCCGGUGGCAACCGGCGCAAGCUGUCUGUGGCGCUUUCUCUCAUUGGAGGGCCUCGAGUCGUCUUCCUGGACGAGCCGUCGGCCGGCAUGGACCCUGUGGCGCGGCGCGGGUUAUGGACCGCAAUCGAGGCAGUCGCCGACAACAGCUCCGUUGUGCUGACGACGCACCACCUGGAGGAGGUGGAGGCGCUUGCGCAUCGCGUGGCGAUCAUGGUGGAUGGCACCCUGCGCUGCAUCGGCGACAAGACUCACUUGAAGAACAAGUUCGGCACCGGCUUCGAGGUGAAUGUGCGCAUCCGUUCUGAUGAUGAGGUGCUGAAAGAGGCUGUGCAGAACUUCUUCAGCGAGAGCUUCCCGGGAUCCUCGCUGCGCGAGUACCGUGCACGCCGCUUUACUUUCGAGCUGCCCCCCGGUACGAAGCUGUCGAGGACAUUCAGGCUUAUGGAGGAACACGCGUCGGCGCUGGGGGCGACGGACUACAGCGUGUCACAGACGUCGAUUGAGCAGGUCUUCAUGCAGAUCAGCGAGGAGGCCGAGCGGCAGCACGAGGCUGAGGAGGCGGAGCAGCUUGCCCAGACGACGAAGAGCUACUGCACGUGCUGCUGCUAGCGCGGUGGUAGUUUGGAGAGGCGAGGGGAAGGGAGAAGCGGGGCUGCCGCGAUCGUCUGCUGUGGCGGUGUGAGGGUGGGUGGGUGGGGGAGCAGCGGAGGAGAGGCAAGGAGGCGAAGUUGUGCGUGUCUCCUGUCUUUCUUGGCAUGCUGUGAUGGCGCGGAAACAGCCCCAGGCAAGGCGGACGUCGAAGGCUAAAGCGCGCUUCUUCGGUUGGGCUUUCUCCGCCCAGUGAGCGCGCACUGCCCUCUGGUCUCAUCCUCGUUACACGGCGCCGAUUUGUUAACGCCCCGCCCAACCAUGCGCGGCGCUCUCGUGUCUGCGUCUGCUCCUCCUGCCUGUGCGUGCUUUUGUUCCUCGCCUCGCGUCGAGUGGGGGUGGGCGGUCCUCCUCGUCGUUGUUCGCGUUUCGUGCCGUGCCCACCGCUCGAGCGCUAUGGGUCUCUCUGCACACACACACACACAUCUAGGUAUCACUAUACACACGCGUGUAUGUAUAUAUACAUGCACAUGCAUGCACAUAGAGAGACAGACAUGUGUAUAUGUAUACAUGCAUAUCAUUCUAUGCAUGCAUGUGAGCAUGCGUGUGUAUAUACAUGUGUAUGUGUAAGACGCGGCUCGUUCUCGGCCUUUCCGCUGUCACGAGUGUCCUCCGCUUGUCGCGACGGGUCAGCCGAUUCCCGUUCUUCUUUUUUUUGUUUGUCUUCAUCUAUUUGUGCUUCGCCUAUUAUGCUCAUGCUUACGACGUGCAUCCGUGCGUGCUUGCUCGCUUUUGUUUUUGUUGCUGCCGACGCCCACAUCUUAUCCUCGUCGCAGCUUGCCUAUACCGAGUACAUCUAUGCAUGCAUGUAUAUAUAUAUAUACUUGUUUUGUGCGCACGCGCGUCGGGUCGCUCCUCUGCACAGUCGCUGUGCUGUGCUCUCGGGGGCACCCCUUUUCUUUUCGAAGUAACCAUUCUUUUCCUUUUUUCGGCCAUUGGUGCCGUGGCUAUGCUUCUGCAUCGCCUGCGGACUCAAUCAUUGAUUGCGUUCGCUCGGGAUUAGGGGGAGGGGGCCGCGCUUACAUAUAUGCGUGCAUGUGCUGCUGGCGCCGUGCUUACUCCGUCUCUCUGGCAUCGCUGCUGUAUCUUGAGCUGCGCGAGCUGUGUGUGGUCUGCCGAUGAUGUCUCCUCACACACCACCACCGCUUCCCGUGCUUCACUGAAUUCCCGCUUCCGUGCCAGAGCGUCGAACGCUGUGCGAUGCGCGUGUGCGCAUGGGCGCUGACUUCCUCCUCUCUCCCGCGUCCUUUUCAGCGUACGAUGCUUGCUGUUGUCACGCAGACACCAAUAAAAAAGAUAUCGGCAGCGUGCGAUCUCAGACCGACAACGAAGACGCGCCCGCAUAGCACGCCGCGAAUGCACAGCGGUGGCUACACGCGUAAAG
rnacentral:misc_RNA from 1 species